rnacentral:lncRNA from 1 species
UUGGAUAUUAAACCACAUAAAACACCCACAUUAUAUACUCAGUCUCCAUGUAGCAGAUGCUCAUCAAAGAAUAAUAAUUCCCAGAGACACACAGUAUCAGGCACACAAAGAGACCAUGUCAACCAAGUAACUAAUACAAAUGUAGAUAACAAGAUCUGAACCACUUCAAAUUUAUGCAUGCCAAGCUCCCAAAGGUGGCCUGAUCAUCUCUCAACUCACACAUCUCUAUCCCUCCUGCACUCAGGUGGCAUGGUCGAGGACCUCGACCGGUCGGUGCAGUAGUUGUAGAUGGUGUAUUUCUGGCGCACCCACCUCAGUCUCCGGUAUUGGUAGCCAUCCAGAUCCUGGAACUCCUUCUGGUCCCACCAUCGCCUCCCCUGGGUGGCACAAAACUUGGCCUCGGUCGAUGCCUCGCAGCCGUCGAUGUGGAAGCCCCGGUAGGCAGCCACAAAGGGAGCCUUGGACCAGUCAGUCUUCUCAAGCCCACCCCUUGUGGCCCAGUCAUCAGCAUUCCACAGGCUGGAGUAGAUCUUCAUGGGCUGGUUGAAGGGGUACCUCACCCCUAAGUCCUUGCUGUUCUUGAACACUCUGAUUGGGAUAUCAUCUACAAAGAAACUAGUUUGGGUGGCACCAAAAGAAACCAAUCAAACAGUAAUUUUCGAUCUUUUGUCGCAAUAUAAAACAUAAGUGGUAGAUAGCACUAUAGACCAUAUGUAAUGUCUUGUACUGAAAAAGAGACCAUAUGUAAUGUCGGUGAGCCAGCUAAAUAGGAUCAUAAAUUCUUUCCAGGAUCUCAAUUGCACCACACUUGCCUAUCCUGGAAAAUGUUUUAAUAACUUUGAAAAUCUCCUGCUGUUGGCAAUUACUUACAAAAGCCAAGAAGAAUCAGAGGUGGAUAAAUUUACUUAAACCAUCAUUUCUUAUAAUCAUUAUUCAGGAUAAGGAAUUUAUCAUCUUAUAAGAAUUAAACAUGGUUAACAUGAAACUCUUCGAUCACUUAUUUGAUUUUCCACAUUAAUUCUUUGCUAGAAUCCUGUAGCAUAACCUUAUAUUUUAUUUCCAGUUUUGCUUUGGAACACCCAGUUUUGGAUAUUAAACCACAUAAAACACCCACAUUAUAUACUCAGUCUCCAUGUAGCAGAUGCUCAUCAAAGAAUAAUAAUUCCCAGAGACACACAGUAUCAGGCACACAAAGAGACCAUGUCAACCAAGUAACUAAUACAAAUGUAGAUAACAAGAUCUGAACCACUUCAAAUUUAUGCAUGCCAAGCUCCCAAAGGUGGCCUGAUCAUCUCUCAACUCACACAUCUCUAUCCCUCCUGCACUCAGGUGGCAUGGUCGAGGACCUCGACCGGUCGGUGCAGUAGUUGUAGAUGGUGUAUUUCUGGCGCACCCACCUCAGUCUCCGGUAUUGGUAGCCAUCCAGAUCCUGGAACUCCUUCUGGUCCCACCAUCGCCUCCCCUGGGUGGCACAAAACUUGGCCUCGGUCGAUGCCUCGCAGCCAUCGAUGUGGAAGCCCCGGUAGGCAGCCACAAAGGGAGCCUUGGACCAGUCAGUCUUCU